AGUCGAACGGCAGCACGGACUUCGGUCUGGUGGCGAGUGGCGAACGGGUGAGUAAUGUAUCGGAACGUGCCUAGUAGCGGGGGAUAACUACGCGAAAGCGUAGCUAAUACCGCAUACGCCCUUCGGGGAAAAGCGGGGGACCUUCGGGCCUCGCACUAUUAGAGCGGCCGAUAUCGGAUUAGCUAGUUGGUGGGGUAACGGCUCACCAAGGCGACGAUCCGUAGCUGGUUUGAAGGACGACCAGCCACACUGCACGGACUGAGACACGGCCAGACUCCUACGGGAGGCAGCAGUGAAAUUUUGGACAGUAAACCUGAUCCAGCCAUCCCGCGUGUACGAUAGAAGGCCUUCGGGUUGUAAAGCACUUUUGGCAGGAAAGAAACGGCACGGGAUAAUACCCCGUGCAACUGACAGUACCUGCAGAAUAAGCACCGGCUAACUACGUGCCAACAGCCGCGGUAAUACGUAGGGUGCAAGCGUUAAUCGGAAUUACUGGGCGUAAAGCGUGCGCAGGCGGUUCGGAAAGAAAGAUGUGAAAUCCCAGAGCUUAACUUUGGAACUGCAUUUUUAACUACCGAGCUAGAGUGUGUCAGAGGAGGGUGGAAUUCCGUGUAGCAGUGAAAUACGUAGAUAUGCGGAGGAACACCGAUGGCGAAGGCGGCCUCCUGGGAUAACACUGACGCUCAUGCACGAAAGCGUGGGGAGCAAACAGGAUUAGAUACCCUGGUAGUCCACGCCUAAACGAUGUCAACUAGCUGUUAGGGCCUUCCGGGCCUUGGUAGCAGCCAGCGGUGUCGCUGGAGUCGGUCGCAGGUCAGCAAGGAUGGCGGUUGCGCUGAGCAGUGGAUGGGCGGGUUAAUUCCGGUGCAACGCGAAAAUACCUAUACGGCAUGCAGAAUCUAGGGGUUGCGGUUGGCUCAUGGGGGGCCGGAACACAGGUGCUGCAUGGCUGUCGUCAGCUCGUGUCGUGAGAUGUUGGGUUAAGUCCCGCAACGAGCGCAACCCUUGUCAUUAGUUGCUACGAAAGGGCACUCUAAUGAGACUGCCGGUGAUAGAACCGGAGGAAGGGGUAGGGAUGACGUCAAGUCCUCAUGGCCCUUAUGGGUAGGGCUUCACGUCAUACAAUGGUCAGGACAGAGGGUCGCCAACCCGCGAGGGGGAGCCAAUCCCAGAAACCCGAUCGUAGUCCGGAUCGCAGUCUGCAACUCGACUGCGUGAAGUCGGAAUCGCUAGUAAUCGCCGGAUCAGCAUGUCGCGGUGAAUACGUUCGGGUCUUGUACACACCGCCCGUCACACCAUGGGAGUGGGUUUUUACCAGAAGUAGUUAGCCUAACCGUAAGGAGGGCGAUUACCACGGUAGGAUUCAUGACUGGGGUGAAGUCGUAACAAGGUAA
rnacentral:rRNA from 1 species